rnacentral:rRNA from 1 species
GACGAACGCUGGCGGCGUGCCUAAUACAUGCAAGUAGAACGCUGAAGAGAGGAGCUUGCUCUUCUUGGAUGAGUUGCGAACGGGUGAGUAACGCGUAGGUAACCUGCCUGGUAGCGGGGGAUAACUAUUGGAAACGAUAGCUAAUACCGCAUAAAAUUGAUUAUUGCAUGAUACUUAAUUGAAAGAUGCAACUGCAUCACUACCAGAUGGACCUGCGUUGUAUUAGCUAGUUGGUGAGGUAACGGCUCACCAAGGCGACGAUACAUAGCCGACCUGAGAGGGUGAUCGGCCACACUGGGACUGAGACACGGCCCAGACUCCUACGGGAGGCAGCAGUAGGGAAUCUUCGGCAAUGGGGGGAACCCUGACCGAGCAACGCCGCGUGAGUGAAGAAGGUUUUCGGAUCGUAAAGCUCGGUUGUAAGAGAAGAACGGGUGUGAGAGUGGAAAGUUCACACUGUGGCGGUAUCUUACCAGAAAGGGACGGCUAACUACGUG